CCUACGGGAGGCAGCAGUAGGGAAUAUUGCUCAAUGGGGGAAACCCUGAAGCAGCAACGCCGCGUGGAGGAUGAAGGUUUUCGGAUUGUAAACUCCUUUUGUUAGAGAAGAUAAUGACGGUAUCUAACGAAUAAGCACCGGCUAACUCCGUGCCAGCAGCCGCGGUAAUACGGAGGGUGCCGGCGUUACUCGGAAUCACUGGGCGUAAAGAGCGCGUAGGCGGGAUAGCAAGUCAGAUGUGAAAUCCUAUGGCUUAACCAUAGAACUGCGUUUGAAACUGUUAUUCUUGAGUAUGGGCGAGGUAGGUGGAAUUCUUGGUGUAGGGGUAAAAUCCGUAGAGAUCAAGAGGAAUACUCAUUGCGAAGGCGACCUGCGAGAACAUAACUGACGCUGAUGCGCGAAGGCGUGGGGAGCGAACAGGAUUAGAUACCCUGGUAGUC
rnacentral:rRNA from 1 species